AUUGAACGAUGGCGGCAGGCUUAACACAUGCAAGUCGAACGAGUGGCGGAAGGGUGAGUAAUGCUUGGGAAUCUAGCUUAUGGAGGGGGAUAACUACGGGAAAAUGUAGCUAAUACCGCGUACCAUAGGAUGAGCCCAAGUGGGAUUAGGUAGUUGGUGAGGUAAAGGCUCACCAAGGCGACGAUCAGUAGCGGGUCGGAGAGGAUGAUCCGCCACAUUGGGACUGAGACACGGCCCAGACUCCUCCGGGAGGCAGCAGUGGGGAAUGUUGGACAAUGGGCGCAAGCCUGAUCCAGCCAUGCCGCGUGUCUGAAGAAGGCCUUCGGGUUGUAAAGGACUUUUGUCAGGGAAGCGGUACCUGAAGAAUAAGCACCGACUAACUACGUGCCAGCAGCCGCGGUAAUAC
rnacentral:rRNA from 1 species